rnacentral:tRNA from 1 species
AAAGACGGCCGAUUGGCCCACGAACCCCCCCCAACAACCUCAGAAAAGCCGAGCGCGGGUCUGUAGCUCAGGCGGUUAGAGCGCACCCCUGAUAAGGGUGAAGUCGGUGGUUCGAGUCCACCCAGACCCACCAACCGUGGGGCCAUAGCUCAGCUGGGAGAGCAUCGGCUUUGCAAGCCGGGGGUCGGCGGUUCGAACCCGCCUGGCUCCACCAUCCCUCGCUCGGAACAACGUGGCUCAGUCAGCGUUCGAUUUACGACUCAACCUGACUCGAUUCGAUACCCCAAGCAUUACUUGGGCCGUACGGACUAAACCGGUUGACUAACCGCUUUAGAACGUCCUCAAAGGGUAAAAGCAACGCUUGUGGUAUCGGCUUGAAGCCGAUGUUUAACCUGAUAGAUCAUCUAAUCAGGCUAAACCUGCUCUUUAACAAUGUGGAAGGUGCAAUAGAGUGAUAGCGCACGUUUAAGCCAAAUCCAACAUCGUUGGAUCGGUGAUACGACGUGUGCGAGUUAGUGAAGUAAAACGGGUAGCAGUAAAAAGCAAGACGACCAGCCACCCUCCAAAGGGGUUGGGGUUGGC